GAUGAGGCCUUUCGGUCUGCCGUCAGGUUGUACUGAAAGUGCUGAGUCUCACCUUCUAGGGAACCAGAUGUGCCUAACGGUGCGCUGGGGAUCUAGGACUUUUACUUUGAGAAAAUUAGAGUGUUUAAAGCAGGCUUACGCUUGAAUACUUCAGCAUGGAAUAAUAAAAUAGGACUUUGGUUCUAUUUUGUUGGUUUGAGGACCAAAGUA
rnacentral:rRNA from 1 species